rnacentral:lncRNA from 1 species
UCGCUGGCCUCCUGGAGCUCCAGGCCCAUGUAGUGCAGCUGCUUUCUGGAGGAUGGGCUGACGGGGAUGUUCAGGCCUGAGGGCUCCGCACCGUGGGCACCCAGGUUCUACAGGAAGGACCCCGUUCUCCAGUGCCUCCUCCCAUUCUUGGGCAGCAGCUGGGACAGAGCGAGAUGGAGCCCAGGUCGACGAGGGUUCGCUCACC